rnacentral:rRNA from 1 species
AGAGUUUGAUCAUGGCUCAGGACGAACGCUGGCGGCGUGCCUAACACAUGCAAGUCGAACGAGGCCACUCCUUCGGGAGUGAGUCGAGUGGCGGACGGGUGAGUAACACGUGAGCAAUCUACCCUUGUGCGGGGGAUAACCCGGGGAAACCCGGGCUAAUACCGCAUGGUCAAGAGAUCCGCAUGGAUCUUUUGGGAAACGUGGCCUCUUAACAAUGCUACGGCGCAGGGAGGAGCUCACGGGCUAUCAGCUAGUUGGUGAGGUCAAGGCUCACCAAGGCUACGACGGCUACGGGGUCUGAGAGGACGACCCCGCACAUUGGAACUGAGACACGGUCCAGACUCCUACGGGAGGCAGCAGUGGGGAAUAUUGGGCAAUGGCCGAAAGGCUGACCCAGCGACGCCGCGUGCGGGAGGAAGCCCUUCGGGGUGUAAACCGCUGUCGGGGGGGACGAAAGAGCUGGAGGCUAAUACCCUCCAGCAGUGACGGUACCCUCAAAGGAAGCACCGGCUAACUCUGUGCCAGCAGCCGCGGUA